rnacentral:tRNA from 1 species
GGCGACGUAGCUCAAUGGCAGAGCACCGGACUCAUAAGCCGUAGGUUGCUGGUUCGAAUCCAGCCGUCGCCA